GACGAACGCUGGCGGUGUGCUUAAUACAUGCAAGUCGAACGAUGAGGUUACUUCGGUAACUAUCAGUGGCGGACGGCUGAGUAACACGUAGGUAACGUGCCCUUUACUGGGGGAUAACAUCGGGAAACCGGUGCUAAUACCGCAUAAGUAAAGAGCUGAAAUGCUUUUUAUUAAAGAAUUUCGGUAAAGGAUCGGCCUGCGUCUGAUUAGCUUGUUGGUAGGGUAAAGGCCUACCAAGGCAAUGAUCAGUAGUUGGUCUGAGAGGAUGACCAGCCAGAGUGGGACUGAGACACGGCCCACACUUCUACGGAAGGCAGCAGUAGGGAAUCUACCGCAAUGGACGAAAGUCUGACGGAGCAACGCCGCGUGAGUGAUGAAGGCUUUCGGGUCGUAAAACUCUGUUGUUAGGGAAGAACAAGUGCUAGUCGAAUAAGCUGGCACCUUGACGGUACCUAACCAGAAAGCCACGGCUAACUACGUGCCAGCCGCCGCCGUAA
rnacentral:rRNA from 1 species